GCAUCAAAUUAUUCCUCACCCUACUGCUCCAGAUUCUCUCUCUCUCUCUCUCUCUCUCCCCCUCCCUCUCCCUCCUCCAUUUUCAUGCAUAUUUUCUCUCUCUUCCCUAAACCUUAAGGAAACGAAACACAGAAACCAAAGUUCUCAGUAAGCAACAAAAGCAGACUCUCAGAUGCCAUCUUGAUUCUCUUCACUACCAACAAAAAUACAGCCUUAACAUUCUCUCUCUUCCAUAUUCAUGAAGCUGUGAGAAAUCAGAUUCAAGUCGCUAUCAUGUUCGUUUUCCCCUAACGUGUGCAGAUUCUCUUAUGGAGGAGGAGGGAUAAAGAUUUUUCUGCAAUCUUCCGUAAGAAAUAAAAGAAAAUGGCUCCAGCUAA